ensembl:lncRNA
CUUCAUUGGAAGGACUGAUGUUGAAGCUGAAACUCCAAUGCAGAAGACGUAGGACAGAUUCUCCAAACUUCCAACACAAACAGAACAGUGUUUUCCUGCCUCUGGAGUCCUUGAGCAAUGUUUGGCUGAGAGACCCACGAGAGGAGUGUUACAAGUGUGAUCUCGGCAGGCUGGGUGCCUAGGACUGCCUCCUUCCUGCACCCGCUCUCCAGCCUGGGCCCACGGCCAAGAGCACCAGAGUUCACCAGAAAGACAAACACUGAGACGCUCCCCAAACACUUGGACUUUAAUUUGCUUCAUGAAAUGCCAGAGUGCAUCAGGUGGAAUGCUGGGCUGGAUGACUCACAAGCCAGAAUCAACAUUGCCAGGAAAAAUAUCAACAACCUCAGAUAAGCAGAUGAUAAUACCACUUUAAUGGCAGAAAGUAAAGAGGAACCAAAGAGCCUCCUGAUGAAGGUGAAAGAGGAGAGUGAAAAAGCUGGCUUUAAAUUCAGCAUUCAAAAAAUAAAAAUCAUGGCAUCCGCUCUCAUGACUUCAUAGCAAAUAGAUGGGC